AAUUUCAUGCAUUUUUACUCACCCUUGUCCCAACCCCUCCUUGACAUGGAGUACUCUUGCUCUGGAGGAGGUGGCAGGUCAGUUUCUAAUUUCCUCUGUUGAACUGGAAGGAACACAACAGACCUUAUUUGCAACAUUAUAAACUGUGGGAGCUGAGAAAAUGACUAAUCUCUAUUUUGCCUAACUUGGAUCUAAGGCAUGAGGGAAAAGUGAUGCAACUCAGAUCUCAGGUAAGGAGAACUACCUGAUGCUGCCAGGAAAUCGGCAAGGAGACUAAAACCUGCAGAUCCUGGGGAAAGCCAUUAUGAGUGAAGACACACAACAGACCACAUAAAGCUCCAGGUAAAAGCUGAGGUCCUUUUUCUCAGGAGGGGUACACUCUCUGAUGACAGUCAGAAAUUUAAAAACUAUUUUGAAUUUUUCCCUUUUUUGGAUGAAGAUAAUGCGGAGGAAGUGAUGUCAGCAGAAACUUAUACAUUAAAGAAACUCUCGGAUGUGUUUCAUGACUGUCAAAGCACAAAGGAUAAAACAUUGGAAGUUGAUCCAAAUUUAGAAAGGAG
rnacentral:lncRNA from 1 species